UACGGGGGGGGCAAGCGUUGUUCGGAAUUACUGGGCGUAAAGGGCUCGUAGGCGGCCAACUAAGUCGGAUGUGAAAUCCCCAGGCUUAACCUGGGAACUGCAUCCGAUACUGGAUGGCUUGAAUUCGGGAGAGGGAUGCAGAAUUCCAGGUGUAGCGGUGAAAUGCGUAGAUAUCUGGAGGAAUACCGGUGGCGAAGGCGGCAUCCUGGACCGACAUUGACGCUGAGGAGCGAAAGCUAGGGGAGCAAACAGGGGAU
rnacentral:rRNA from 1 species